ACCAACUCUGUUGCGCUGUGCACUGCCGUGCGUUUAACCCAGGCGCGGAGGAGGAGGAGAAAAUCCCCCCAGAUCCGGGCAGGCCCCGCACCCCACAUCCCAUCCAGUUUUGAGAGGAGGAGGGAAGAGAAAUAAACGUGGCAGCGCAUAUAAGGCCAGUGGGGAGGUUGGGGAAAGGGUGAUCCGAGGGGCACGCAAUUAGUAAACAAGCCGGCUUAUUCACUCCCACUCUCACUUUUCAGAUACCUCCUUCGACCACUGCCCCCACACCCUCUUCCCCGGCCGGCCCCCAGUCCUUUGGGGUGCUAGGAAAUGGGUGUGACAGCAUUUGUAGGGGAGAUGGCGGGUUGGCUCUGGGCUUUACAGGAAGGAAGACCCUGAGAGAAACCGCCGUGCUAAGAAAGCCUAGGCUGCUUUCCAGACAUCACUGGCCCAUACAGCCCUUCACCUCUGUUUUUUCAGUCCUGAGAAAGGAGUUUGGGUUUCUCUGCCUUUUGGGCCCUGCACAACUGUUAGCCUGGUGGAAAAGUGCAAAUUGCUCCUGCUCUCCCAGCAGAUUGGUCCUGCUUUGCUUGCAGCCUCAGCAGAAUUUUGAGCCUGAGCUGAAGCGCCUCACUUGGACGUGCACGCACCCCACUUGGGCACGUCUGGAUCAGA
rnacentral:lncRNA from 1 species